UCCUACGGGAGGCAGCAGUGAGGAAUAUUGGUCAAUGGUCGGGAGACUGAACCAGCCAAGCCGCGUGAGGGAUGAAGGUACAGAGUAUCGUAAACCUCCUUUGUCAGGGAACAAAGGCGGGGACGUGUCCCCGGAUGAGUGUACCUGAAGAAAAAGCAUCGGCUAACUCCGUGCCAGCAGCCGCGGUAAUACGGAGGAUGCGAGCGUUAUCCGGAUUUAUUGGGUUUAAAGGGUGCGCAGGCGGUCUGUUAAGUCAGCGGUCAAAGCCCGGGGCUCAACCCCGGCCCGCCGUUGAAACUGGCAGU
rnacentral:rRNA from 1 species